AUUGAACGCUGGCGGCAGGCCUAACACAUGCAAGUCGAGCGGAUGAAGGGAGCUUGCUCCUGGAUUCAGCGGCGGACGGGCGAGUAAUGCCUAGGAAUCUGCCUUGUAGUGGGGGAUAACGUCCGGACACGGGCGCUAAUACCGCAUACGUCCUGAGGUAGAACGUGGGGGAUCUUCGGACCUCACGCUAUCAGCUGAGCCUAGGUCGGAUUAGCUAGUUGGUGGGGUAAAGGCCUACCAAGGCGACGAUCCGUAACUGGUCUGAGAGGAUGAUCAGUCACACUGGAACUGAGACACGGUCCAGACUCCUACGGGAGGCAGCAGUAGGGAAUAUUCGACAAUGGGCGAAAGCCUGAUCGAGCCAUGCCGCGUGUGUGAAGAAGGUCUUCGGAUUGUAAAGCACUUUAAGUUGGGAGGAAGGGCAGUAAGUUAAUACCUGGCUGUUUUGACGUUACCAACAGAGAAAGCACCGGCUAACUUCGUG
rnacentral:rRNA from 1 species